UGCGUAGGGACCGAGCGUUGUCCGGAUUCAUUGGGCGUAAAGAGCUCGUAGGCGGCCACUCAAGUCGAAUGUGAAAACUCGAGGCUCAACCUCGAGCCUGCAUUCGAUACUGGGCGGCUAGAGUCUGGUAGGGGGAUCUGGAAUUCCUGGUGUAGCGGUGGAAUGCGCAGAUAUCAGGAGGAACACCGGUGGCGAAGGCGGGAUCCUGGGCCAGUACUGACGCUGAGGAGCGAAAGCGUGAGGAGCAAACAGG
rnacentral:rRNA from 1 species